AUUUUAAUUUCGGCAGCAUGCCACCGCCUUCGUCAAAAAGUGACGAAGGCGGUGGCAUGCUGCCGAAAUUAAAAU